CGGGAAGGGAGACAGAGAGCAGGGGGCGACUCUUAUCCACACGGGGAGCCGUGCGAUGGCCGACACGAUGCCAUCGGUGGCCAUCGUGGCCUGGACACCACAAUAGCGGGAGGUAAGAGAUGACCCACGUGGGCUUGGGCUCUCCUAUGCACUAGAGGACCGAUAGUGCAAUAAGUUUUAGCCCUUUCAUUUUUAAUUAUUUUCCUUUAUUUCCUCUAAAACUUUGUAUUUUAUUGAGCUACUAAAUAAAUUUAGUUAAAAGCGACA
rnacentral:lncRNA from 1 species